rnacentral:rRNA from 1 species
UACGUAGGGGGCGAGCGUUGUCCGGAUUCAUUGGGCGUAAAGAGCGCGCAGGCGGUCGUUCAAGUCGCGUGUGAAAGCCCCCGGCUCAACUGGGGAGGGUCACGCGAUACUGAUCGACUCGAAGGCAGGAGAGGGUAGUGGAAUUCCCGGUGUAGUGGUGAAAUGCGUAGAGAUCAGGAAGAACACCCGUGGCGCAAGCGGCCACCUGGCAGAGCACUGACGCUGAGGCACGAAAGCGUGGGUAGCGAACCGG